rnacentral:tRNA from 8 species
UGCCGACUUAGCUCAGUUGGUAGAGCAUCUGAUUUGUAAUCAGAGGGUCGGGCGUUCGAAUCGUCUAGUCGGCAU